rnacentral:rRNA from 1 species
GAAGAACUGACGGUACUUGAGGAAUAAGCCACGGCUAAUUCCGUGCCAGCAGCCGCGGUAAUACGGGAGUGGCAAGCGUUAUCCGGAAUUAUUGGGCGUAAAGCGUCCGCAGGCGGUCUUGAAAGUCUGUUGUUAAAGCGUGGAGCUCAACUCCAUUUCAGCAAUGGAAACUAGAAGACUAGAGUGUGGUAGGGGCAGAGGGAAUUCCCGGUGUAGCGGUGAAAUGCGUAGAUAUCGGGAAGAACACCAGUGGCGAAGGCGCUCUGCUGGGCCAUAACUGACGCUCAUGGACGAAAGCCAGGGGAGCGAAAGGGAUUAGAUACCCCUGUAGUCCUGGCCGUAAACGAUGAACACUAGGUGUCGGGGGAAUCGACCCCCUCGGUGUCGUAGCCAACGCGUUAAGUGUUCCGCCUGGGGAGUACGCACGCAAGUGUGAAACUCAAAGGAAUUGACGGGGGCCCGCACAAGCGGUGGAGUAUGUGGUUUAAUUCGAUGCAACGCGAAGAACCUUACCAGGGUUUGACAUCCUGCGAAUCUUUUGGAAACAUAAGAGUGCCUUCGGGAGCGCAGAGACAGGUGGUGCAUGGCUGUCGUCAGCUCGUGUCGUGAGAUGUUGGGUUAAGUCCCGCAACGAGCGCAACCCACGUCUUUAGUUGCCAGCAUUAAGUUGGGCACUCUAGAGAGACCGCCGGUGAUAAACCGGAGGAAGGUGUGGAUGACGUCAAGUCAUCAUGCCCCUUACAUCCUGGGCUACACACGUACUACAAUGCUACGGACAGAGGGCAGCAAACUCGCGAGAGCUAGCAAAUCCCAUAAACCGUGGCUCAGUUCAGAUCGUAGGCUGCAACUCGCCUACGUGAAGGAGGAAUCGCUAGUAAUCGCAGGUCAGCAUACUGCGGUGAAUACGUUCCCGGGCCUUGUACACACCGCCCGUCACACCAUGGAAGU